CCCUAGUAACGGCGAGUGAAGCGGCAACAGCUCAAAUUUGAAAUCUGGCUUCGGCCCGAGUUGUAAUUUGCAGAGGAUGCUUCUGGCGCGGUGCCUUCCGAGUUCCCUGGAACGGGACGCCACAGAGGGUGAGAGCCCCGUAUGGUCGGACACCAAGCCUGUGUGAAGCUCCUUCGACGAGUCGAGUAGUUUGGGAAUGCUGCUCUAAAUGGGAGGUAAAUCUCUUCUAAAGCUAAAUACCGGCCAGAGACCGAUAGCGCACAAGUAGAGUGAUCGAAAGAUGAAAAGCACCUUGAAAAGGGGGUUAAAUAGUACGUGAAAUUGUUGAAAGGGAAGCGUUUAUGACCAGACUUGCGCCGGGCGGCUCAUCAGGGGUUCUCCCCUGUGCAUUCCGCCCGGCUCAGGCCAGCAUCGGUUCUCGUGGGGGGAUAAGACCGCCGGGAACGUAGCACCCUCCGGGGUGUGUUAUAGCCCGGCGGACGAUACCCUCGUGGGGACCGAGGUUCGCGCUCCGCAAGGAUGCUGGCGUAAUGGUCAUCAGCGACCCGUCUUGAAACACGGACCAAGGAGUCGUCCAUUAGAGCGAGCGUUUGGGUGUAAAACCCGCACGCGUAAUGAAAGUGAACGCAGGUGAGAGCUUCGGCGCAUCAUCGACCGAUCCUGAUGUUCUCGGAAGGAUUUGAGUAAGAGUUUUAACGGACGGACCCGAAAGACAGUGAACUAUGCUUGUAUAGGGUGAAGCCAGAGGAAACUCUGGUGGAGGCUCGCAGCGGUUCUGACGUGCAAAUCGAUCGUCAAAUAUGAGCAUGGGGGCGAAAGACUAAUCGAACU
rnacentral:rRNA from 1 species